rnacentral:rRNA from 1 species
AUUGAACGCUGGCGGCAGGCUUAACACAUGCAAGUCGAGCGGGGUGAUGGUGCUUGCACUAUCACUUAGCGGCGGACGGGUGAGUAAUGCUUAGGAAUCUGCCUGUUAGUGGGGGACAACAUCUCGAAAGGGGUGCUAAUACCGCAUACGUCCUACGGGAGAAAGCAGGGGAUCACUUGUGACCUUGCGCUAAUAGAUGAGCCUAAGUCGGAUUAGCUAGUUGGUGGGGUAAAGGCCUACCAAGGCGACGAUCUGUAGCGGGUCUGAGAGGAUGAUCCGCCACACUGGGACUGAGACACGGCCCAGACUCCUACGGGAGGCAGCAGUGGGGAAUAUUGGACAAUGGGGGGAACCCUGAUCCAGCCAUGCCGCGUGUGUGAAGGAGGCCUUAUGGUUGUAAAGCACUUUAAGCGAGGAGGAGGCUCUUUUGGUUAAUACCCAAGAUGAGUGGACGUUACUCGCAGAAUAAGCACCGGCUAACUCUGUGCCAGCCGCCGCGGUAA